UUCGGUGGCGAUAGCGGAGGGGUCACACCUGUUCCCAUUCCGAACACAGAAGUUAAGCCCUCCAGCGCCGAUGGUACUGCAUGGGUAACUGCGUGGGAGAGUAGGUCGUCGCCGGAA
rnacentral:rRNA from 1 species